UUCCGGAAGGCUGAACCCGUACGCAGGGGCUUCCACAGGGCCCGUUUGCUUGUGGAGGGAAGAGCCAGACUUCUCAAAGCUCAGUCUCUUCCGCAGCUGGGACCCCAGGGCCUUCUGUAUGUUCAGCAGAGAGAGCUCCCCAGAACAUGACUCCGUCUCCAUCCUGGGUUGUGAUGAUGCCACUGCUUGUCACGUUGUGGUCCUGAGACACACAGAGAAUGGGGCUACCUGCUUGGCACAUGGUAAGGGAACCGACACAGAAGCUGGGGCCCCCUUGAUCACGAAUUCCAUAACAAGAUCCUUUUUCCGCCGGCGCUCCGUGAGGAAGGGUGCUGGCGCGCCUCCUGGUCGGCUUCAGUGAGGACAGGCACUGUCACCGGAGCGUCCUUAACGUCCUGACAGGAAGAUGACACUUAGUGUGUGUGACAGAAUUGAAUGGCCGCGAAGUAAAUGAAAGCCACAUUCCAGCAACUUAAGCCCACUUCUCAUUUCAGGCUCAGCCCCAGUGGACAGUUCCAUGGAAGCACAGACUUUCUUUUGUGCUGCCAGCACAAGCUCAAGCUACUUCAACUUUCUGCCCCACGGCCAUCUCCAACGCUGGAGGAGUUUGCCUGCAUACAAAUGCAGACCAGAAAUGUCUCUGAGUUAACCGUCUCUGAGGAAGCCUCAACUAAUACAGGACAGAAGCAGGUGGGCAAAUGCUCAACCCAUUGCUUCAGGUAGACAAAUCUGGACAACAUUCCCUGAGCCUCUUUCGAGAACCUGAUAGAAACAAGCCCACUGCUCAGAGCAGCCACCUCAACAACAUACCCUUAUCUUGGCUGUUCCUCCUUCCCUGACUCAUUCACCCUGUUCUCUCACUCUUGCUUCCUGGAAUCACUUCCCAAAUAAAUGCCCCACACUCA